GGUAGAGCACUGAAUGGUAAUCCGUGCCUUCACGGGUAGGAUCACCAAACAAACUCCGAAUACUCUUGUGGAAUGUAUGGCAGUGAGUAAGCGAGGGCAAAGCUUCGUUUACGCGAGGGAAACAGCCCAGAUCGCAGCUUAAGGUCCCAAAAUGUAUACUAAGUGAAAAGGAAGUGUUUUACCUUAGACAGGUAGGAGGUUGGCUUAGAAGCAGCCAUCCUUUAAAGAGUGCGUAAUAGCUCACUAUUCGAUCCUAUCGCAAGAUAGGGAGGUAAAAUGCGCCGAAAAUUUAUAGGGGCUAAGUAUACUACCGAAAGCGCGGAUUCGGUGAUUUCAUAAAGGAAAGUUUGUGGGUCCGUGGCGCAGAUGGGAGCGCGCUGGAUUCUCAGUCCAGAGGUCGGAGGUUCGAGUCCUUCCGGACCCACCAAACUUGCGAGCAGAGAUAGUUCAAGAGAAGAACAUCUGGCCUCAUAAGCCAGAGAUACGUGGCGCAACUCCACGGCUCUACUCCAAAUAAAUCAGGCGAAGUUGAACGAAGCACGUCGACGAAGACUACAAUCAAUCGUUCAAACUUCCCACCGCCGACGUACCGGACCAUUGGUCCAGUACGUCGGCUCCUUUAUGAAAUCACCGAGUGGUAGGGGAGCAUUCUCGACCGCUGUGAAGGUUCACUGUGAAGUGGGCUGGAGCGUCGAGAAGGGAGAAUGUUGGGAUGAGUAACCGCAAAUCCGGUUAAAGUCCGGAUCGUCGAAAGCCUAAGGUUUCCUCCGCGAUGACAAUCAUCGGAGGGUUAGGCGUCCCUAAGGAUAACCAUGGUUUAGGCCAUGGGAAGCCGAUGGUGAGCCGGUUAAUAUUCCGGCCCNNGUAGGAAUUCUGUCUGGAAAAUCCGACAGAGGCCGUAAGGCAGUUCCGAGAAUAGAAGAAAUUAUCGCAAGAUAAAAUUUGGCUGAAGAGGGCUCCAAGAAAAGUCUCUAAGUUUAAUGCAUGAGCGCACGUACCGAAAACCGACACAGGUGGGCAGGUGUAAGUGCACCAAGACGAACGGGUGAUUAUUGGUUAAGGAACUCGGCAAAAAAGCGGCCGUAAGUUCGCGAUAAGGCCUGCCGCGCGCAAGCGCGGCCACAGCUAAAGAACCCCUGGCGACUGUUUAUCAAAAACACAACUCCGUGCUAAGGCGUAAGCCGCUGUAUACGGGGUGACGCUUGUCCGGUGCCGGAACGUUAACGGUGGAGGUGGUAUGUCGCAAGAUGUACUGCUGACGCCCGAAGCGCCGGUGAACGACGGCAGUAACUAUAACUGUCUAAAAGUAGGUUAUUCACUGCUUUUAUAAAAUCUGACUAUUUGCUGGAAACUCUGAGUAUCGAGGGCUACAAUAUGGUAUAAUAAUACCAUGCGUAAUAAUGCUUCUCGUGCAGACAAUCAGCAGGAAAGAUUAAGGUUCGAGGGCUGGAUUAGUGGUUUUGUCGAUGGCGAGGGAUGCUUUACUAUAAGCAUUAUUCGGAAUCGAUCAGUAACUACUAGACAAGGCUGGCAAAUAUUUCCAGAAUUCGUGGUAAGUCAAGGCGAAAAAAGUCGUACUGCAUUACAAAAAAUCGAAAGAUAUUUUGAAUGUGGCUACAUAAAUCUAAACACGCGUCGAGACAAUCAUCACGAGCAAAUGUUGAAAUAUUGUGUCAGAUCAAUCCACGACCUCGAUGAAAAAAUAAUACCGUUUUUUGAGAGAAAUAAAUUGAAAACGUCAAAGAAAAACGAUUUUCAAGUGUUUAAGAAGGUCAUCAAAUUGAUGAUUAAACGGAAACAUCUUUCAGAAAAAGGAUUAGAGCGAGUACGAAAUUUGCUUCAGACAAUGAAUCGAAGAAAGUAUGAGCGAGCCUUAAAAUCCUCAGAGACUAUAUGUCAGACUCUACCUCUUGCGUCAAAAUAGGAGGAGAGAAGAUAUAGUCCGAUCUGCAUGGCGACAUGCAGGAUUGAUUACUCAUCAAUCACCUCAUUUAUGAGGAAACAAAAAGAGCGAAAUUCCUUGUCGGGUGAGUUCCGACCUGCACGAAUGGCAUAACGACUUGUAGACUGUCCCAACAAUGUACUCGGCGAAAUUGCGUGGGGAGUGAAGAUGCUCUCUAUGCGUAGUUGGACGAAAAGACCCCGUGAAGCUUUACUAUAGCUUAAUAUUGGGUUAUGACUAUGCAUGUUCAGAAUAGGUGGGAGCCGCAAGGCAACAGUGAGAUACCACCCUUGUAUAUUUGUAACCCUAACCCUCAGGCCUUGAAUCAGGUCAGGGGACAGUAUUUGGUGGGUAGUUUGUCUGGGGCGGAUGCCUCCCAAAGAGUAACGGAGGCGUUUACAAAGGUUGGCUAUCCCGGAAUGGAAACCCGGGAGAUAGUGUAAAGGCAAAAGCCAGCUUUACUGCAAGACCAGCAAGUCGAGCAGUUGCGAAAGCAGAACUUAGUGAUCCGACCGUUCGAUAUAGGACGGCGGAAGCUCAUCGGAUAAAAGCUACUCCGGGGAUAACAGGCUAGUCACGCCCAAGCGUCCACAGCGACGGCGUGGUUCGGCACCUCGAUGUCGGCUCGUCGCAUCCUGGGGGUGAAGAAGCUCCCAAGGGUUGGGCUGUUCGCCCAUUAAAGCGGCACGCGAGCUGGGUUCAGACCGUCGUAAGACAGGUCGGUCUCCUAUCCACUAUGGUCGUGGAAACUUGAGAAGGCUCUUCCCUAGUACGAGAGGACCGGGAAGGACGAAGCUCUAGUGUGCCGGCUGUCCCACCAGGGGCAUUGCCGGGUAGCUACCUUCGGUUUGGAUAAGCGCUGAAGGCAUAUAAGCGCGAAGCCGUCUUCAAGAUUAGGUUUCAUAGAGUCGUCGGAGAACACGACGUUAAUAGGCUCUAGGUGUAAGUGCAGUAAUGCAUUCAGCCGAGGAGUACUAAUCACUCAAAUGAUUUUCCC
rnacentral:rRNA from 1 species